AGGACGAACGCUGGCGGCGUGCUUAACACAUGCAAGUGGAGCGACGAACCAGGCUUCGGCCUGGGGCAGAGCCGCGAACGGGUGAGUAACACGUGGGCAACUUGCCCCGAUGAUCGGGACAACCCGGGGAAACUCGGGCUAAUACCGAAUGUGCUCUCCUCUCAUCAGUGAGGCGACGUAAAGGAGUCUUCGGCCUCCGCAGUCGGGAUCGGGCCCGCGGCCCAGUUAGCUUGGUUGGUGAGGUUAACGGCUCACCGAAGGCCGCGAGUGGGUAGCUGGUCUGAGAGGACGAUCAGCCACACGUGGACUGAGACCACGGCCCAGACCUCCGUACGGGACGGCAGCGAGUGGGGAAUCUUGCG
rnacentral:rRNA from 1 species